CACGUAGUUAGCCGGCGCUUUCUCUGCAGGUACCGUCAAUCUCUCUUCUUCCCUGCUAACAGAGGUUUACAACCCGAAGGCCGCCAUCCCUCACGCGGCGUCGCUGCAUCAGGCUUGCGCCCAUUGUGCAAUAUUCCCCACUGCUGCCUCCCGUAGGAGUCUGGGCCGUGUCUCAGUCCCAGUGUGGCCGGUCACCCUCUCAGGCCGGCUACCCGUCGUCGCCUUGGUGAGCCGUUACCUCACCAACAAGCUGAUAGGCCGUGAGCCCAUCUAUAACCACUACAUAACGCUUUCCACCAACACCCCAUGCGGAGAUUGGUCGUAUCCGGUAUUAGACCCAGUUUCCCAGGCUUAUCCCAGAGUUAAAGGUAGGUUACUCACGUAUUACUCACCCGUUCGCCACUAAUCCACCUAGCAAGCUAGGCUUCAUCGUUCGACUUGCAUGUGUUAAGCACGCCGCCAGCGUUCGUCCUGAGCCAGGAGUCAAACUCU
rnacentral:rRNA from 1 species